rnacentral:rRNA from 1 species
UAAUGGCAGGUCAGCAUACUGCCGUGAAUACGUUCCCGGGCCUUGUACACACCGCCCGUCACACCAUGAGAGUUGGAAAUACCCGAAGCCUGUGAGCUAACUUAAGGGAGGCAGCAGUCGAAGGUAGAGCCAAUGAUUGGGGUGAAGUCGUAACAAGGUACC